rnacentral:tRNA from 1 species
AGAAAUUUAGUUAAUAUAAUAUUAGUUUGUCAGACUAAAGUAGGGUUAU